GACGAACGCUGGCGGCGUGCUUAACACAUGCAAGUCGAACGGUGAAGCAGAGCUUGCUCUGUGGAUCAGUGGCGAACGGGUGAGUAACACGUGAGUAACCUGCCCUUGACUCUGGGAUAAGCGUUGGAAACGACGUCUAAUACCGGAUACGAGCUGAGACCGCAUGGCCAUCAGUUGGAAAGAUUUUUUGGUCAAGGAUGGACUCGCGGCCUAUCAGCUUGUUGGUGAGGUAAUGGCUCACCAAGGCGACGACGGGUAGCCGGCCUGAGAGGGUGACCGGCCACACUGGGACUGAGACACGGCCCAGACUCCUACGGGAGGCAGCAGUGGGGAAUAUUGCACAAUGGGCGCAAGCCUGAUGCAGCAACGCCGCGUGAGGGAUGACGGCCUUCGGGUUGUAAACCUCUUUUAGUAGGGAAGAAGCGAAAGUGACGGUACCUGCAGAAAAAGCACCGGCUAACUACGUG
rnacentral:rRNA from 1 species